ACCGAUGAAAACGACUACCAGGUCAAACUGCGCAACCUGAUCCGCUUUCUCGAAGACGGCGACAAGGCCAAGAUCACGCUGCGUUUCCGCGGCCGUGAAAUGGCCCACCAGGAAAUCGGCAUGGCGCAGCUCAAGCGCGUCGAGGCCGAUCUGGUCGAACUGGCCGUGGUGGAACAACACCCGCGCCUGGAAGGCCGCCAGAUGGUGAUGAUGCUGGCGCCGAAAAAGAAGUAAGCGCGCCGCACUUUACGCAGGUAGUACCGGAUAGCGGGGUGGCGACAGCCCCCGCCAAGGCAGGUUUUUUCUGCCGGUUGUCGCAAAAAAUCGUGGUGCCAGGCCACUAAGUCCCCAA
rnacentral:misc_RNA from 1 species